AUAUUUUAAAGUAAAAUUACUUUCUUAAUAUCUUCAAUAUUACACUUUAAAUAAGCUAUUAAAAUA
rnacentral:tRNA from 1 species